rnacentral:rRNA from 1 species
UACGGAGGGAGCUAGCGUUGUUCGGAAUUACUGGGCGUAAAGCGCACGUAGGCGGCUUUGUAAGUUAGAGGUGAAAGCCCGGAGCUCAACUCCGGAACUGCCUUUAAGACUGCAUCGCUUGAAUCCAGGAGAGGUGAGUGGAACUGCGAGUGUAGAGGUGAAAUUCGUAGAUAUUCGCAAGAACACCAGUGGCGAAGGCGGCUCACUGGCCCGGUACUGACGCUGAGGUGCGAAAGCGUGGGGAGCCAAACAGGG